rnacentral:rRNA from 1 species
GUGGCUUAGAUACCCUGGUAGUCCACGCAGUAAACGAUGAUAACUCGCUGUCGGCGAUACACAGUCGGUGGCCAAGCGAAAGCGAUAAGUUAUCCACCUGGGGAGUACGUUCGCAAGAAUGAAACUCAAAGGAAUUGACGGGGGCCCGCACAAGCGGAGGAACAUGUGGUUUAAUUCGAUGAUACGCGAGGAACCUUACCCGGGCUUGAAAGUUAGCGACGGAUCUGGAAACAGGUCUUCCCUUCGGGGCGCGAAACUAGGUGCUGCACGGUCGUCAACU